CUACGCCUGACAAUUAUUGAACAGUUGUUUUUGUAGAUAAGUAUUAGUGACCGAGUUGGAGAUACAGUUGCAGGUUGCGAUAGUGAAGUACAUAAUUCUGUUUGUUUUCUAAAGUGAAGGUUGACUGUUUUGUAAACUUCCAUCACAUUUAGAGAGUAAGUAUUCAUACUUUGAUUUAGGAAUUAACACUAAUUCUUGAGCCAUGAUUCACUGGGUUUAAUUAACGCUAAAAACUGUUUGAAAUAUUUUAACAGAAUGGCUUUCCUCCUUUUUUGAGAGAGUCUUUUGGAUAUUACUUUACGUAUGACAUGUCUAUAUCGUUUCAAGUUCUUUUUAUCCUUUUCUGGAAUGACAAGAUUUCCCCUGAUAGCAUUGUAAAUCACCUCUAUAAGUGCAGCCAAUUGAGAUUUUGUUAAGUUUUUUAUCAACAUUUUUUGUUGUUUUUCAUUGGUGUUGAUCAUAAAUUUUAAAAAAUGUCUCUCCUUCUGUAGUUUAUCUUCCAUUUUUCUCCUUUUCAGGUAGAAAUACAAUGGGGGUUUGAUGUGGAAAGAUGUCUGUACGAAGUUUAUAUAACGGGUUAGAAUGUGGACUUACAUCCACCAGAAGGUAACUAUAUUUCUUGUU